ensembl:lncRNA
GCUGGACGCUGCAGGUUCUGACCUCGAAACGGGGGCCUGAGUCCUUCGAGAGCCUGGGGGCGAAGAGACGAGAAGGCGGCUGCAUUUUGCUGAAUGGUGGUGGUGUUUGGGGUUUUUUAAAAUCCUUUCUCCCCCAUUUUCCUUUUUACACUUUUUUUUCUUAAAAAAGAUUUUUUUUUGGUCUUUGCCCUUUUAUUCGUUGGGGGAGUGAAUGCUGUCAGUGGCGAAGUAAAAUUAGGAAGGGGCCCUUGCCCGGCUGGCGCCUUCUCUGCGCGCUGACCUGCGGGCGAGGCUUGGGGCAGAGCUCGGCGGAGGGCGGAGGCCGCAAGUGGAGGGCCAUGCAGAUUGGAUCAAACCAGAAAUAAGGCUCUCUGUCCAGAAAAAGCCUUCACUGAAAGAAAUAACGUGCUUAAGGAAGGAACGUAUAAGUCAGGAAUUGAGCCAAGAAAAGCCUGCGAAGUAAAUAUUUGGCAGGGUCCCAGUCUGAAGGGGAAAGUCUCCCGAGCAGUUCUGGAGGCCAGAAUCUGAAAUCAAAGUGUCAACAGGGCUAUGCUCCCAGAAGCUUUAGGAUCUGUUCCUNNNNNNNNNNNNNNNNNNNNNNNNNNNNNNNNNCAUUCCUGGGCUUGAAGGCACAAUCAGUUCAUCUUCAAUUGCCUUCUCUGGGGUCACACCCAUGGCCUUUAGAAGUUGCCCUGAGGCUAGGGGUCUAAUCAGAGAUACAGCUGUCGGCCUACACCACACCACAGCAAUGCAGGAUCUGAGCCUCGUCUGUGACCUACUGCACAGCUCAUGGCAACGCCAGAUCCUUAAUCCACUGAGUGAGGCCAGGGAUCGAACCGGCAACUUCAUGGUUCCUAGUGGGAUUUGUUUCCACUGUUCCACAACUGGAACUCCAGAAAACAAAUUUUAAGUAGGGCAUGAUAAGGGUCUUUGAGAAUUCUAAAAGUGUGUAGUUUUCAAUUUUAUGUAGGAUGUUCAAUGUGAGUCUAGCAAGCUACUUGAAUUUGAGAAGAUUCAAAGAAGUGAGUCAUGAAGAUACCAGGGAAAGAACAUUCCUGGCAGAGGAAACGGCUGUGCAAAGGCCUCAAGAGGAUGGCAAGCCUGGCAUUUUCAGGGAAGAGCCAGGAAGCCAGGACGGCUUGAGUGGAGGAUGAGAGGAAGAGAGCAGGAGAGGAGCUCAGAGAAUAGGGUGGAGGGUGGUAGUGGAACAAGAUCCUGGAGAAUCAUGGGGUUUUUUUCAUAAGGACUUUGUCUUUUUUACUCCUAGUAAAAUGGGGAAACAUUGGAGGGUUUUGAUUGGAGGAGUGAUGUGAUCAGUUUUAUGUUUUAUUUUUUUCAUUUUAGGGCCGUACCCACAGCAUAUGGACGUCCCAGGCUAGGGGUGGAAUCAGAGCUGUAGCCGCUGGCCUAUGCCACAUCCAAGCCAUGUCUGCGACCUACGCCACAGCUCAUGGCCACACCAGAUCCCCAACCCACUGGACGAGGCCAGGGAUCCAACCUGUCAUGGAUAAGUUCCUAGUCGGAUUUGUUAACCACUGAGCCACGAUUGAACCACGACAGAACUCUGGUUUUAUAUUUUAAAGGGUCCACAGUGGCGUCCAUGUUGAGAACCCUGUACAGAGCAAGGAUAAACAUCGCAAGGCUGUAGGAAGCUCCUGCAGAGAUCAGGGCAGAGCUGAUGGUGCCUCCGACCAGGAUGACAGCAGUGGAGUUAGCAGUUGGAUGCUGAAUAAGCUUUUGUUUUGUUUUGUUUUGCGUUUGGUUUGGUUGGGGUUUUUUUGUUUGUUUUUUUAGGGCUGCACCUUUGACAUAUGGAGGUUCUCAUGCUAGGGCUUGAAUCAGAGCUGCAGCUGGCCAUAACCACAGCAACAUGGGAUCUGAGCCACAUCUGUGACCUAUAGAUGGCAACACCAGAUCUUUAACCCACUGAACGAGGCCAGGCAUCGAACCUGCAUCCUCAUGGAUACUGGUUGGGUUCCUUACUGCCAAGCCACAGUGGGAACUCCUGAAUAAGUUUUGAAGAUACAGCCAUUGUGAUUGUUAUGAGACAUGAUGGAGGCAGUGAAUCAAAAGUGAAUCAAAGUGUUUAUCUGAGCAAGUGAAAACAUGAAAAUGUUAUCAACUGAGGUGGGGGAGGCUAGAGGUGGAGUAGGUUUGGGGAAGUUAUGGUCUUGUUGAGUUUGAGAUUCCUAUUAAAUACCUGUGAGAUAUUCAAGUUGAGAUGUGGAGCAGACAGGUAUACAAGUCUGGAGAGAUGCCUAGUCUUGGUCUAUAAAUUUGAGACAUGUAAUUUGCAGGGCCCAGUGCAACAUGAAAAGGAGAGCCCCUUGUUAAACUAUUAAGAAUUUUCAAGAUUGCGACAGCAGAGCAUUAACAAAGUAUGGGGUUCUCCUUAGGGAGACGUGGUUGUGCACCCAUGAAACUGACCUUGUUUGGGAGUCAUGGACAUAUGCAUGAUAUUUAAAGCCAUGAGAUUGGAUGAGAUCAUCAAAGGAAUGAGAUCAUCAAAGGAUGGAGAAGAGGACCAGGUACUGACCUCUGGGGCGCCCUGGGAUGAAGAGAUGGAGGAGAAGAGGAGAAGCCAGCCCAAUAAAAUGAAAGGUGGGAGGAAAACCAGGACAUGCCCUGUCCUGGAAGCCAAGAGAGAAGGUGGAGGCGGGGAGGACCACCAGCUUCAUCAAAUGCUGCUGGGCCGUUAACGUGAGGACAGGGAACCACCCACUGGCUCUAGCAAUGGGUAAACUUUCAGCAACAAUACAUUGUAAUAUUUUAAUAAGAAGCUGGGCAAAACUACUGAGAGUAUUACGAACCACACAAUGUAAUUAUUGAAAAUUUUUUGAUACUACGUGGCAAUAGACAUGGCCUAUAUUCCACAUUUAUAAAACCUCCCCUGAAAUAGAGCCCAUUCCAGUAAGUCACCAUUAUGUGAGUAAAUUAUUUUGGUAGAUUUUGGGCAUAUAAAGUAAUAAUACAUUUUAAAUGAGGUCAGAAGAGGAUUUCCUGAAGCUUUCCCAGUUUUAGGGGGAGAGUAAGUUUCUUGGCCAAUAUCAGGUAUUUAUAAGGUCCCCCGAAACCUUAUCUGAAAACAACAUUUUAUUAAAAUUUUUGAAUUCCUCAGAUCAUGGACAUGGAGGACAGACUUGUGUUUGCCAGGGGGAGGGAGAGACAGGGGAACUGACAGGGAGUUUGGGGUUGGUGGAUGCAGACUGUUACCUUUGGAAUGGGUGGGUGAUGGGGUGCUGGUAGAGCACAGGGAACUGGACCUUGUCUCAGGUAAGAACCUUAAGGGGAAAAAAAAAAAAAAAAAAAAAAACAGGUGUAAGUGGCUGGGUCACUGUGCUGUACAGCAGAAACUGAAGGAACAUUGUAACAGAAAUCAACUGUACUGUAACAAAAAUUUUAAAAGUCAAUCAAAUAUUAAAAAAAGAAAUUUUAAAUACUAAUUAUCCCCCUUUCUUAGUUUCUGUUGCAUUUGUCAUCAUAUUAUCUCAAAAAAUAUUGGUAAGAGGCUGUUUAUGGAAGGGCUUUGAAACAAGAAGAAAAGUCUUCCCAGCCUUGGACUUUAUCAGAUAACUUUAUGUAUCAAAUCUGCAGGCAUCCAGGGAGCUAUUCAAGAACAAAGCUUUACCUGUUACGGGUUCUUAUGCAUUUAAUACAUUGUAUGCUAAGACUAAAAAGUUUUAACAAGCUUCUGACUUUUGAUUAAAACUCUUUUAUAGGGUUUUUCAUAAAAACAUUCUCUAACCCAGAGAGUUAAGUAAGACCUUUUUUGUUUUUGUUUUAUUGUUUUUCUUUCUUUAUUUAUUUUUAAGGUUUUUAUUUUUUCCAUUAUAGUUGAUUUACCAUUUUUUUUUUGUUAACUUCUGUAUUUUUUUAAUUGUUUUUGUAUGGAGACUUUUUUAAUUUUUAUUAAAAAAUUUUUACUAUAGUU